UCAAACAUACAGAAGGUGAAGUGGGACCAUAACAUAAUAUGGUACAUCCAUUUCUGAAUUACCACCAAACAUAAGUCUCCCACGUUUGGGAGGUCUCCCACGUCUGGGAGCUCCAUCCACCCACGUCUGAGUGAAGUCAUAAGGGCCGGCAGAGCAUCUCAGGCUCUAUGCAUAACUCCCUUCACCAUUUUUGGCGAAGGUUCACAAUAUCCCACAAACACCAGAGUACAAAAGGAUAGUAUG
rnacentral:lncRNA from 1 species